UAUGUAAGCAUUCAGCCUGCUGAUGUGAGACAGAGAGAGGAGUCUAUAAGCACAUCUACACUGACCACUUAGAUCAGUGUGAGAUCAGAUCAGCCACAGGUGGCUAGCUAUAUAACACAUGGGGACUGAUCCAGCUUAACCUGGGAAAAGCUACUUAAUGGUUUCUCCAGGUUAAUCCAACCCACCAGAUUUUCUAACUCGUCAGGAAAGCCUGAAUUCCUCAUCAGGAUUCAGAUUCUCCCCUAAAUUAGAGAAAUCCAGACAGCUGUAACUGGUUCCUAAGUGGAAUAUUGAUUCCAUGCUCUCUUUGCUGAUGUUUGGAAAUCCCCCUUCAUUCUUCUAUAUCAUGUGACUCACCAAGAUAGCUUCCCUCCCUCCUACCAUUCUUCUUUGGAAGACAUAGAAGAAAACGCCACUGGGAUCAGAAACUUAUCAAAGGGUUGUCUCCAUGCGCUUACACAACAUUUUGCAAAAGACUAAUGGCACAUGGAUGAUGAGUCAGAAACUAAAGUGGGGCAGAAAUGGCCAGGAGGAGCCAUAAGAAAGUCAACAUGGUCUGGUGGUUCCAAUGGUGGACAACGAUUCUGGAAAGCAAGACUGAAUCUCUACUAAGUCAUGCAAACCUAUGAGUGACCUUGGACAAGUACACUCUCAGCCUCAGAGAAAGGUGAAAGAAAACUCUCUGGAGUAAUCUUGUCAAGAAAACCUCAUGAGGUCAACCUUAGAAUUUCCAGCAAUUGACAAUGUGCAGCUUGUGGUGUUCCUAUCUCAGAUAUAAAUCUUUUCCAUGAAAUUAUUUUGUAUAUAUCAUGAGAUAUUCACAAGUAGACUGAAAAUUGACAGUUAUUACAUAGGAGAAAAGUAAGAAUGAUGGGGGAAAGGCCUGGCACAAUGAUUAUUGCUUUAAAAGAGUAGCUUAAACAUUUCUUAGCAGCACUCAAUAACCAAACAUGGUAAUCCUCUCAAUGAUUAUUUGUUUGUUUAAAUAUAGGGGUCCCUCAGGGCAUGAUGUGCAUCACAGAAUUUUAAAACUGCCCAGUGAAUAUAUUAUCUGCAAAAUCAAUAAUAUGUCUGAUGCAGUCAAAAAGUAUGGAAUAUGACAGGAUUCUCUCUUCAUCCCUAGACACUGCCUAAGCAUCCUCUAUCCCACACUGAGUUUACAAGCUUGAGAUGACAUCUUUUUUUUCCAAACCACAGAGGGAUAUGAUCCAAUAGCACACAUUGCCAUACUGUAAAUACUCUACAUGUUCAUAGAAGCAAUUAGCCUUUUAAUAUCAUAAACACGGUGAGAAUACAAAGCACUAUGACCUGUCUCAAGGGCUUCAUAAAAAAGAGUAAGCUCUCAAGCAGGAGAGGAUGAGCAGUGUAUUGUCCUAUCAUUCUUUUUACAGGAAACUAUUAUUUCAACAUUAGAAUAUACACCCUUAGCCAUGGAUUCAAUAUCCAUGAUUUUAUGAAACCACACGCAAUGGGUAAAUGUAAUUUGCAUUUGUUUUUAUAUCUAUGUGUCUAUCUAUCUACCUCUCUUUAUCUGAAAGAGUAGCAUAUUAUCAUCUCUUAAACCUUUAAUGCUUUUAGGCAGUUGUGAUAGGCUAUGAACUUUUCAUUUCUUGCCCAAUAAAAAUGCAAGAGAGGGCUCCAUGAGGAUGGGAUAUGAGUGUAAAAAUACAUAGAGUAUGUGGCUUUCUUUUGUAAGUACCCUUGCAUGGAAGAAUUGUGAAAAAAUAGUUUAUGCUUCAUCAAAA